rnacentral:rRNA from 1 species
AACGAACGCUGGCGGCAUGCCUAACACAUGCAAGUCGAACGAGACAUUCGGGUCUAGUGGCGAACGGGUGCGUAACGCGUGGGAACAUUCACUUAGGUUCGGAAUAACUCUCCGAAAGGGGUGCUAAUACCGGAUAAUGUCUUCGGACCAAUGAUUGCUUGACUUUGGAUGGGUACGCGUUGGAUUAGCUAGUUGGUAGGGUAAAAGCCUACCAAGGUGAUGUUCCAUAGCUGGUCUGAGAGGAUGGGCAGCCACACUUGGACUGGGACACAGCCCAGACUCCUACGGGAGGGAGCAGUGGGGAAUAUUGGACAAUGGGGUGAAGCCUGAUGCAGCAAUGCCGGGUAAGUGAUGAAGGCCUUGGGGUUGUAAAGCGCGAUUGCCCGGGAUGAUAAUGACAGUACCGGGAGAAUAAGCGCCGGCUAACUCCGUG